rnacentral:rRNA from 1 species
UACGAAGGGGGCUAGCGUUGCUCGGAAUCACUGGGCGUAAAGCGCGCGUAGGCGGUAGGCCAAGUCUGCUGUGAAAUCGCCCGGCUCAACUGGGCGCGGUCGGUGGAAACUGGUCAACUGGAGGACGGUAGAGGCGAGUGGAAUUCCCGGUGUAGUGGUGAAAUGCGUAGAGAUCGGGAGGAACACCAGUGGCGAAGGCGGCUCGCUGGGCCGGACCUGACGCUGAGGCGCGAAGGCGUGGGGAGCGAACGGG